ACUCUUUAGCACAGUAAGCAGUGCAUCAGGCUCCAAAGCUGAAAGUCCCAAGUUCAAUCCUCAGAAGAAGUG
rnacentral:tRNA from 1 species